rnacentral:tRNA from 1 species
GGCCCCGUAGUUCAACGGAUAGAACGACCCUCUCCUAAGGGGUAAAUACAGGUUCAAUUCCUGUUGGGGCCACCA